rnacentral:rRNA from 1 species
UUCUAUUAUGGAGAGUUUGAUCCUGGCUCAGGACGAACGCUGGCGGCAUGCCUAAUACAUGCAAGUCGAGCGGAAU